AGCAGCCGCGGUAAUUCCAGCUCCAAUAGCGUAUAUUAAAGUUGUUGCAGUUAAAAAGCUCGUAGUUGAACUUCGGGGUCUACCCAUUGGUCAGGCUUAAUUGUCUGCACUGGUGGGAUGGAUCUCUACCUUCUGAGGAACUUUCAUGCCAUUUAUUUGGUGUGAUUGGAAAUCAGGACUGUUACUUUGAAAAAUUGAGUGUUUAAAGCAGACUAUCGUCUGAAUACAUUAGCAUGGAAUAAUGAAAUAGGACGGACUGAUUCUAUUUCGUUGGUUUCUAGGAUCACCGUAAUGAUUAAUAGGGAUAGUUGAGGGCAUUAGUAUUCAAUUGUCAGA
rnacentral:rRNA from 1 species